GGGCCUAUAGCUCAGCGGUUAGAGCGGCCGGCUCAUAACCGGCUGGUCCCUGGUUCGAAUCCAGGUGGGCCCACCG
rnacentral:tRNA from 1 species